GAAAUACUCCCUCCGUCCCAAAAUUCUUGUCUUAGAUUUGUCUAAAUGCGGAUGUAUCAUGUCACGUUUUGAUAUUAGAUACAUCCGUAUCUAGACUAAUCUAAGACAAGAAUUUUGGGACGGAGGGAGUAUAAA
rnacentral:pre_miRNA from 1 species